AUUGAACGCUGGCGGCAUGCCUUACACAUGCAAGUCGAACGGCAGCACGGGAGCAAUCCUGGUGGCGAGUGGCGAACGGGUGAGUAAUAUAUCGGAACGUGCCCAGUCGUGGGGAUAACGUAGCGAAAGCUACGCUAAUACCGCAUACGAUCUAUGGAUGAAAGCGGGGAUCGCAAGACCUCGCGCGAUUGGAGCGGCCGAUAUCAGAUUAGGUAGUUGGUGAGGUAAAGGCUCACCAAGCCGACGAUCUGUAGCUGGUCUGAGAGGACGACCAGCCACACUGGGACUGAGACACGGCCCAGACUCCUACGGGAGGCAGCAGUGGGAAAUUUUGGACAAUGGGCGCAAGCCUGAUCCAGCAAUGCCGCGUGCAGGAUGAAGGCCUU
rnacentral:rRNA from 1 species